UUCCUGUGCCUUUUGAUUGAGUGUUUCAAUGGAAGUCCAGAAUUCCAGAUGAGCAUGGGACUCCGGUCCGGCAGUACACCCUGCCCUGAGCAGAAACUCUGAGGAUGUUCUGUCCAACACACAUUAAGGGACCAGGCAGGCAGGGCUCUAUGCCUCCGUUUCUUUACUCAUGAAAUAAGACAAACACACCCAUCUCCCAUGCGAUGUACCCCCUAGCAAGAAGAAAUGAGAAAGUGCUGGGGGAGUGUUUUGAAUCUGGAGGCAGAAGAUGCCAUAUCAUGAUUGCUACAAAAUACAGAUUCAGCUGUCACGAGUGUCUUCCACUGGCACCUAAGACCAUCCAAUUCAAGAGAAAGGGAUAAGAUCUUAUAUUGGUGGACCUGUGAAUUACAUGGGAGACAGUUCAAAGACUCCAGGACAACCUCUGUUCCAAGGCCUUCAGAAGACACAUCGUGAUUGUCGCAAAUCCGGUAGUGAGACACAGAGAGACCAAAGUCAAUGCAGAGAAGUCCAUCUUCUGUCUGAAACUCCCUUCUGGGACUUCCUUUGUAUUCAGGGACAGUCCCCAUUGGGCAGGAUUCCUUGGCAGGAAGCACAUCCAGCCAACCUCUGGGGCUAAAGGGGCCAGAUGUAUACUCUCCCUGUCAGCUGGCAACUGAAGAGUGCAUUUCCAAAGCUUGGCCAAGCAAUGCUCUUACCUGGGAUUCUGGAGUGUAGGGCAUUAUUCAUGCAGGAGCAGCAGGAAUGGGGAUGUAGUUGACCCUUGCUGCCAGUGGUGUGGAAGGUCCAGUCAGAAGGGCCCAAAAACAUGUUGUUCCUGCUGAGCUGAUUGUUCAUGCCUCAGUUCCUGCCUAUUUCCCAAGCCUGGCUCUGCCACCAUCACAUUGGUUUGUGAGCUACCUGAGAUCACUGCAAUACAUUCCCUUCCUGCUUAAGUUAGCCAGCAUUUGUUUAUUAUGCUUGUGACCAAGGAUCCCACCUGAUACACCAUUUGUUGCCUCUCAAUGCUUGCUCUGCCUAGCUCUUACUGUCAGAGAUGUAUGAGAAAAUGAAGAAUGUUAAAGAAUUUUUUAUGCUAAAUACUGAAGAAUGCUAAAUAAAGGACUUAAGAAGGAACUAACAACAGCCACUUUGCAACAACAUCUCAUCAUCUUUAGCAGAGAGAAUAACAGUAACAGAGCAACAGCCCAGGCAAAACAACCAAAUGAUCCAAUAUCCAGUAGAAAUCACCAGCCAGACAGGGGACUCCACAAAGAAAGAGGAACAAAGUCACAAGCCAGGAACUCAAGAAUUACAGUAACCUAUUGAGGACAAUGUUAAGUGAGGACUUGC
rnacentral:lncRNA from 10 species